AUUGAACGCUGGCGGCAGGCCUAACACAUGCAAGUCGAGCGAGCGGAGGAAGGGGGAGUAAUGUCUGGGAAACUGCCUGAUGGAGGGGGAUAACCACUGGAAACGGUAGCUAAUACAGCAUACCAUCAGAUGUGCCCAGAUGGGAUUAGUUAUUAGGUGGGGUAACGGCUCACCUAGGCGACGAUCCCUAGCUGGUCUGAGAGGAGGACCAGCCACCUGGGAUCGGGGACACGGUCCAGCCUCCUACGGUGGGCAGCGGUGGGCAAUAUUGGACAAUGGGCGCAAGCCUGAUGCAGCCAUGCGGGGUUUGUGAAGAAGGCUCUCGGGCUUUACAGCACUUUCAGCGGGGAGGCGUUACCCGCAGCAGAAGCACCGGCUAACUCCGUUCCAGCAGCCGCGGUAAUUC
rnacentral:rRNA from 1 species